GAAAGAUGAAAAGAACUUUGAAAAGAGAGUUAAACAGUACGUGAAAUUGUUGAAAGGGAAACGAUUGAAGUCAGUCGUACCAGCGGGAAAUCAACCUUUCGAGUGGGGUUUUGGAGUUUUGAAGAGUGUCAAAACCUUUGAGAUUUCAAAAAUUUCGCUCUUUUGGUGUACUUUCUCGUGGGUAGGUUAACAUCGAUUUUGAUCAUCAUAAAAAGAUUGGAGGAAUGUAGCUUCGAUCUUGUAUUGAAGUGUUAUA
rnacentral:rRNA from 1 species